GUAGUAAGCACAGUAACUUCAUUCAUUAAAUUUUUAAUAUUUUACAAACAAAUUCUGUCAGACAUUACAUUUAGCGUGACUAAAGAAGUGUCACUUUAAAAAUUUGAAUACAUUCGGAAUUCUGAAAUACAAUCCUAUGAAAGCAUUUCAUUAUCAAAUUAAUAGGCGUGGGUUAUUUUAGUACCGCUACAAGUCAUCGCUAAUAUUGCUCUUUUAUAUAAACAAUUACAUCAAUAUCAAUACAGUGCCACAGAGUUAUACAACUGUUCACGCAAAAACUCGCAAUAAGCGAAAUUUCCGUCUCGACCUUCAGCCAUGUGAAGAUGUCACCCAUAAAAACACUAUAUUCAGCUACUAUUACACUCCGGGGACUCGUUACGCUAAGCGCCUAACCACGUACGCCUACAUACUUGUAUAUGAUAUGUAAGAGCUCACAAAACUGCAGAUGGUGAUAAAAAGGAAUAAAAAUGGCGCAAGGAUUUGUCUCAUGUAUACGAAUACUUGGUAAUUGAUGGAAAUGAUUGAAAAAUCCGUUGAAGCUGCUUAUAUAUAUAUAUAAAUUGUUAAGCGACAAUAGCAAAAAAUAUGUAUUUCAUAAAAUUUCAUAAUUAAAUUAGGGCGAAAAGCUUGGUAGAUUAAGGGGAUGUUAGUUAUAUUCUAUUUUUUCGAGGUACAAUAUUAUACUAAAGUGGCAAGG